UACGUAGGGUGCAAGCGUUGUCCGGAAUUAUUGGGCGUAAAGAGCUCGUAGGCGGUUUGUCGCGUUGUUCGUGAAAUCUCACGGCUUAACUGUGAGCGUGCGGGCGAUACGGGCAGACUUGAGUACUGCAGGGGAGACUGGAAUUCCUGGUGUAGCGGUGGAAUGCGCAGAUAUCAGGAGGAACACCGGUGGCGAAGGCGGGUCUCUGGGCAGUAACUGACGCUGAGGAGCGAAAGCGUGGGGAGCGAACAGG
rnacentral:rRNA from 1 species